rnacentral:rRNA from 1 species
AGUGAACGUUGGCGGCGUGGAUUAGGCAUGCAAGUCGAGCGAGAACCGUAGCAAUACGGGGACAGCGGCGAAAGGGACAGUAAUGUGUAGGUACCUACCUCCGGGUUCGGGAUAGCUGCGGGAAACUGCAGGUAAUACCGAAUAACGUCUCCGGACCAAAGGUGUGAUUCCACCUGGAGAGGGGCCUGCAUCCUAUUAGCUUGUUGGCGGGGUAACGGCCCACCAAGGCGACGAUGGGUAGCGGGUGUGAGAGCACGACCCGCGUCAUUGGGACUGGGACACUGCCCAGACACCUACGGGUGGCUGCAGUCGAGGAUCUUCGGCAAUGGGCGCAAGCCUGACCGAGCGACGUCGCGUGCGGGAUGAAGGCCUUCGGGUUGUAAACCGCUGUCGUAGAGGAGGAAGUGCAGGGGGGUUCUCCCCUCUGUUUGACCUAUUCUAGGAGGAAGGACGGGCUAAGUUCGUGCCAGCAGCCGCAGUAA